rnacentral:rRNA from 1 species
AUGGCCGACCCAUCGGCGAGCCCCUCCGGCGACGGCGGGAGCCGCGUUAGCGGCAGCCCCACGGCCGGCGGCAUCGGGGAGGAGCGGGACGUGUUUCUGCCCGUCGCCGAUAUCAGCCGCUCUUGGAUCUCUGCUUGGCUUGAACGGCCUUUGUUUUUGGCGGGUGACGCGUCGGUGCUUUGCAUGGAGAGCGGCGAGAGCGACAGAUGCAAGAGGGCGAGGCGGGAGGCCACGGCCGGCAACGACCUGCUGCCCGAGAUGGCGAAGCAGGGGUUUCAGGCCCACCCGCACAAGAACAGAUCGGAGCUCCCUUGCACAAUGGAGGUGGUGGAGCCAAACCCCUUGCCCGUGUCCGAUGUCAGGGAUUGGUCUGAGCUCCCACUCGAUGCGCUUUCUGCAAUCUUCAUGAAGCUUGGGACCAUUGAGAUUCUGAUGCACGCGGAACUUGUGUGUUGCUCAUGGCGCAUAACAGCCAAGUCCCCCGAGUUGUGGCGUUUCGUGGACAUGACGCGCCACAAGGUGGUUUUCUCAAAGGCAGAAAAUGUCUUGUGCGAAAUGGCAAAGGUGGCUAUAGAUCGCUCCGAGGGACGGAUGGAAUCGUUCUGGGCUCAGAAGUUUGUCACUAGCGAACUCCUGAAUUACAUUGCAAGCAGAUGCAACUCAUUGAAGAGCAUUCGGCUCAUUGCCUCCCAAUACUUUUGGGACGACGGAGUAACUAAGCUUGCGGCUAGAUGUCCAAUCCUAGAAGAGAUAGAGUACUCUGGUCAGAAGCUGUCGUGGCCAUUUUUCAAGCGGAUCGGUGCUGCUCGCCCAGAGCUGAAACGUUUAAGAGUCCGUUUGCCUUGGGUCGACGAGGAGGAAGAGGAGGAGCUUUAUGAGGCCUGGGAGGCGAGACAGAACGAGGAGGCCUUCGCCAUAGCAGAGAGCUUGCAGGAGUUGCAGCUCCUUCAGAUGGCAGGCUACGGCCUGACUGAAAAGGGGGUGUACGCCAUUCUUAAGGCUGCCCCCACCUCGAAUUCCUCGACCUUAGAGAAUGCGACAACCUUGAAGUUGACGAUGAAUUCCGAGCUCGCUGUGCCAAUAUCAGGCAUGCCCGGCUGCCAGGAGUGGUGGGGUCUCCGCCUCACGCUCAGUGCCCAGAUCUCCAUACCAUCGAGGAGAACGAAGGUGAAGUGA